rnacentral:tRNA from 1 species
GGCGGCGUAGCCAAGUGGUCUAAGGCGGGGGUCUGCAAAAUCCCUACUCGUGGGUUCGAAUCCCACCGCCGCCUCCA